rnacentral:rRNA from 1 species
GUAGGGAAUAUUGGGCAAUGGGCGGAAGCCUGACCCAGCCAUGCCGCGUGAAGGAAGAAGGCCUUCUGGGUUGUAAACUUCUUUUAUAUAGGAAGAAAAAGGUCAUGCGUGGCCAAUUGACGGUACUAUAUGAAUAAGCACCGGCUAACUCCGUGCCAGCAGCCGCGGUAAUACGGAGGGUGCAAGCGUUGUCCGGAUUUAUUGGGUUUAAAGGGUGCGCAGGCGGCGCGUUAAGUCAGUGGUGAAAUCCCGCAGCUCAACUGUGGAACUGCCAUUGAUACUGGCGUGCUUGAGUACGGACGAGGUAGGCGGAAUUUAUGGUGUAGCGGUGAAAUGCAUAGAUACCAUAAAGAACACCGAUAGCGAAGGCAGCUUACUAGACCGUAACUGACGCUCAUGCACGAAAGCGUGGGGAUCGAACAGGAUUAGAUACCCGGGUAGUCC